UACAGGGGGGGCAAGCGUUGUUCGGAAUUACUGGGCGUAAAGGGCUCGUAGGCGGCCAACUAAGUCACACGUGAAAUCCCCAGGCUUAACCUGGGAACUGCGUGUGAUACUGCCAUGCUUGAGUACUGGAGAGGAGAUUGGAAUUUACGGUGUAGCAGUGAAAUGCGUAGAUAUCGUAAGGAAGACCAGUGGCGAAGGCGAAUCUCUGGACAGUUACUGACACUGAGCACGAAGGCCAGGGGAGCAAACGGG
rnacentral:rRNA from 1 species